AGGCAUAUCCGUAGACCUUGCCUGAUUCUGCUUACGGUCAGGCAAGGGGGACAGUAUAUGCAAGAGUAAUAUGGAGUUUGUGCAAACUCUAACCAGCUUGUUCAGUAGCUGGAUAAAUUGCAGUACUCCCAACAUUU
rnacentral:snoRNA from 1 species